rnacentral:rRNA from 1 species
AUUGAACGCUGGCGGCAUGCCUUACACAUGCAAGUCGAACGGCAGCAUGGGUGCUUGCACCUGAUGGCGAGUGGCGAACGGGUGAGUAAUGCAUCGGAACGUACCCGGAAGUGGGGGAUAACGUAGCGAAAGUUACGCUAAUACCGCAUAUUCUGUGAGCAGGAAAGCGGGGGAUCGCAAGACCUCGCGCUUCCGGAGCGGCCGAUGUCGGAUUAGCUAGUUGGCGGGGUAAAGGCCCACCAAGGCAACGAUCCGUAGCGGGUCUGAGAGGAUGAUCCGCCACACUGGGACUGAGACACGGCCCAGACUCCUACGGGAGGCAGCAGUGGGGAAUUUUGGACAAUGGGGGAAACCCUGACGCAGCAACGCCGCGUGAAGGAUGAAGGCUUUCGGGUUGUAAACUUCUUUGAUCGGGGACGAAAAUGACGGUACCCGAGGAACAAGCCACGGCUAACUACGUG